rnacentral:rRNA from 1 species
UACGGAGGGUGCAAGCGUUAUCCGGAUUCACUGGGUUUAAAGGGUGCGUAGGUGGGCAGGUAAGUCAGUGGUGAAAUCUCCGGGCUUAACCCGGAAACUGCCGUUGAUACUAUCUGUCUUGAAUGUAGUGGAGGUGAGCGGAAUAUGUCAUGUAGCGGUGAAAUGCAUAGAUAUGUCACAGAACACCAAUUGCGAAGGCAGCUUACUAAAGUAUGAUUGACGCUGAGGCACGAAAGCGUGGGGAUCAAACAGG